rnacentral:rRNA from 1 species
UACGAAGGGGGCUAGCGUUGUUCGGAUUUACUGGGCGUAAAGCGCACGUAGGCGGAUCGUUAAGUCGGGGGUGAAAUCCUGGAGCUCAACUCCAGAACUGCCUUUGAUACUGGAGAGCUUGAGUCCGGGAGAGGUGAGUGGAACUCCGAGUGUAGAGGUGAAAUUCGUAGAUAUUCGGAAGAACACCAGUGGCGAAGGCGGCUCACUGGCCCGGUACUGACGCUGAGGAGCGAAAGUGUGGGUAGCAAACAGG